rnacentral:pre_miRNA from 1 species
AGCCUUCUGUAUCCGUGCUGAGAUUUCGUCACACACCAGACCACAAGGGCUGAUGAGACUCCCAGCAUGAUCUCAUGAAAACCU